rnacentral:rRNA from 1 species
AGGGAAUAUUGGACAAUGGGGGCAACCCUGAUCCAGCAAUGCCGCGUGUGUGAAGAAGGCCUUCGGGUUGUAAAGCACUUUUAUCGGGAACGAAACAUUGUCGGCCAAUACCCGGCAAGACUGACGGUACCCGAGGAAUAAGCACCGGCUAACUCCGUGCCAGCAGCCGCGGUAAUACGGAGGGUGCAAGCGUUAAUCGGAAUUACUGGGCGUAAAGCGUGCGCAGGCGGUUUGUUAAGUCUGCUGUGAAAUCCCCGAGCUCAACUUGGGAAUUGCAGUGGAUACUGGCAAGCUGGAGUACGGUAGAGGAAGGUGGAAUUCCCGGUGUAGCAGUGAAAUGCGUAGAGAUCGGGAGGAACACCAGUGGCGAAGGCGGCCUUCUGGACCAGUACUGACGCUCAUGCACGAAAGCGUGGGGAGCAAACA